rnacentral:SRP_RNA from 1 species
CCGUGCUAGGUGGGGAGUUAGCGGUGCCCUGUACCCGCGAUCCGCUUCAGCGGGGCUGAAUCCCCGCCCGAGGCCCGGAAGGUCCGGGGCAGCCCUCGGAACGAAGCGUUGAAGGUCGGGUCCUGCGCGACAUCGGCCCGCGAACCCGGUCAGGUCCGGAAGGAAGCAGCCGUAAGCGGAAGCCGGUGGGUGCCGCAGGUACGCCUGGCCGGAGCUGUCGUUCCAGGUAGCGUCCGAGUCAUCCGUGGUCGACGGUGGGUGCACGG